rnacentral:siRNA from 1 species
ACCACAGUCUUCUUGUAUAUGGUA